rnacentral:rRNA from 1 species
AACGAACGCUGGCGGCAUGCCUAACACAUGCAAGUCGAACGAAAACUUCGGGUCUAGGGGCGCACGGGUGCGUAACGCGGGGGAACCUGCCCUUAGGUUCGGAAUAAUUCCCCGAAGGGGGUCCUAAUACAGGUUAGGGUCUUCGGACCAAAGAUUUAUCGCCUUUGGGUGGGGCCGGGUUGGUUUAGGUGGUUGGUAGGGUAAAAGCCGACCAAGGCGACGAUCCAUGGCUGGUGUGGGAGGAGGAUCAGCCACACUGGGACUGCGACCCGGCCCAGACUCCUACGGGAGGCAGCAGUGGGGAAUAUUGGACACUGGGCGAAAGCCUGAUCCAGCAAUGCCGCGUGAGUGAUGAAGGCCUUAGGAUUGUAAAGCUCUUUUACCCGGGAUGAUAAUGACAGUACCGGGAGAAUAAGCUCCGGCUAACUCCGUG